rnacentral:lncRNA from 1 species
CACCUUCUGGGUGCAUGAGGAAGGCAGUGGUCUGCUGACCCGGACAGUAAGGUCUGAAUCAGGCUUCCAGUAUGACUCAGCCCUCCUUCCCUGAGCCUAUUUUCGCAAAGGCUGUCAAGAUGUUCACAUGCAAGACGUUCGGCGAUGAAGGAUCUGAGUGAUUUCUGGAAAUAGCUCCGCUGGUGAGUAAUGAAGUAUAAUUAUGACUUCUCACAGUCCCAGAGGUUUUGCAAGGACCAAACACUAUAUACAGAGUCAUGGUCUCAUGCUUGACUCUUGGGAUUCUAGUAUCUUCUAGACAGCAGAUCUGCCAGGUGUCACAGCCACUCAAGACUGAGAAGAUAGUGAGUGUACUUAGGAAUGAUGGGCUCCUCGAAGGUUCUCAAAGUCCUCGCCUCAUGCCUCAGUGGCUAAGGUAGAGUUGUGGGAAUCCUUAUGACUGUGAAUGUUCUAGAGCAGUGGUUCUUACAUUUAUAAUUGUAUGACAAGAAGACUGUGUAUUCCUCAAGUAGCCUCCUGUUCUAAAAUAUCUUUUCUUCUCAGGGUUAUUCCAGUGCAAGUAUCCAAUGUAAUCAGAUUCGCU